rnacentral:rRNA from 1 species
AAUGAACGUUGGCGGCGUGGAUUAGGCAUGCAAGUCGGACGGGCCGCAAGGCCAGUGGCGGAAGGGUGAGUAAUGCGACGGUAACCAACCCCGGAAAUGGGUAUAGCCGCGGGAAACUGCGGGUAAUCCCCAGCGACGUGUCGGGUCGGCAUCGACCUGACACCAAAGCUCCGGCGUUCCGGGACGGGCCGUUGUGGUAUUAGCUAGUUGGCGGGGUAACGGCCCACCAAGGCCGCGAUGCCUACCGGGCGUGCGAGCGUGGCCCGGCACACUGGGACUGAGACACUGCCCAGACUCCUACGGGAGGCUGCAGUCGAGAAUCUUCGGCAAUGGUCGCAAGCCGGACCGAGCGACGCCGCGUGGAGGACGAAGGCCUUCGGGUUGUAAACUCCUGUCGAGGGGGAGGAAGGCGCAAGCUUGACCGAUCCCUGGAGGAAGCACGGGCUAAGUUCGUGCCAGCCGCCGCCGUAACAC